CACACACACACACACUUUUCUGGUUAAUCACAUCCCACCUUGUUGUCCUUCUAUUGGCCAGGUAACUUGGAGGUUACAAAGAAAAUCAGUGGACCAGACAUAAGGCAUGUUGUACCAUGAGCAGAGAAAUUGAUUCUGCAUUUGUCACGUAAGAUUGUCUGCUUUACUCUUUCUUAUUCUCAUCACUCUAUCCCAUAGCACCCUCUCUUCCCGCCCUGAAUCCUUCGAUCAGAUAGAUACAAGUAGGGCUGAUGGCUCAGCCACACUCGAGUUAUCUCACUGUAGCCAAGACAGAAAUGUCAUCCCAACAGGUGAGCAUAAACGAAGUGAUGUAUUUCUGUCACCCCUCUGUCCCGGAGAAGGAAGUGCCCUAAGGCCUGGGGCCUCUCUGUGUAGGACACUGUGCCUGCUGACCUGUCAUGUUAUGCAGUAACCACCUUGCUGCCUAUGUCCCCUCAUGGUGGUGGCACUCACCCUGAAGUAACCAAUGAUUUUCCUUUUGAAGCGACUUUGUUUGACUAAUUUAAACUAUUUUGUACUGAUGUAGCCCUGAGAUAGUUCCUGAAAAUGCUGUGCACUCAUUCAGUGGAACAAAUGUUGGAAAAUGAAUUUUUCAUAUAUAAAAUAUUGAAUUAUCAGGUUUUGUGUUUUAUUUGAAGGUCCAUUUCUCCCAUAAGAAUACGCCAUGCCCCCAGAAUCCCCUUGGUUAAAAACCCAGCAGGAGUGAGUUGAAAGAAGUGGAAGAUUGCUGUACAGUAGAAAGGGGG
rnacentral:lncRNA from 1 species